CAGCAUGCAAAAAGUGUAGAGAAAGUGGAGAAAAUUUGGAAUGUCACAAUGAACAAGCUGGUUCGGGAUGUGUGCAACCAACAGUGAGAUGGAACUUAAUCAGAGAGGAUGCAACAUACAGUGCGGUUUUCUAUUAUGAGAUACAGGACAAAGAUAGCAAAAUGUAGACUGAGUUGAGCAACCCUCACCAGUGCGUAUGUAAGCCAAAGUGCAGAAGAGAAUCAGCAACAGCAAGUGACAAUCAAAGGCUUAUUACAAAAAGAGAAGCAUUGUAAAAUUAGCUUUGGCUAAUCAACCCAUAUUACAAUAUAUCAGAAUAUGUCUCUUGUACAGAUAAUGAAAUAUUUUACGUACUUGUCACUAUCAUGUAAUUACCAUGCUAUCCUUUCAACAGAUUGUUUUAAGAUGGUGGAGCAAGGGAUGUGUUGUUAGAGUGGAGGAGGAGCCAUUUUAUAUUAUGCCUGACAUGAUUAUCAGUGUUUUUAUUAUAUCAAAAUAAUGUGUGUAUUUUUGUUUGGCUUCUGGAACUUAUUUUCUAUGCUAAAUAUUUAUUUAGAAUAAGGUGCAUCAUCUUAGUCAUGCAUUGUAAGGCAUGAAAUCCAAUGACAAUGAGUACAGGAGCACAAAAAAGUACAAUUAUGUCAAUACAUUAUUUUUAAUGAGGGAAAUUUGCAUUUUCAAAGGUCAAAGGACAGGAUGUGGCAGAGUGUAAAUUAAUGGAAUUAUCAUAAUAAUCAAAUGCAGAGGUGAAAUUGUAUUUGUUUUUAAUCAUAUAGUAAAAAAGAAUUCUCAAAAAAGGUACACCCUCGAUCUGUAUUUUUAUUAACUUUAAUUGUUGAAGUACAAAUCCAAGCAAAAUGUUGAUAGUGACAUUGACAGGGAUUUAAAGAACUUUUUUUGCUUUUUGUUAAUUGCAAAUGCAACAUUGCUUUGCAUACCUUGUGAAAAUAAAUGAAUGGAGAGAUGAAUGUGAAGACUGACCUGAUGUAUUUUUUAUGUGCUGCAUUGUCUUAGCAUUCACAGACAGUGAGCACUGAGUGAUCAUUAUACAGAAAUCAUUAAAGCCAAAAGAAAAAAAUCAACAGAAGAUAAAUAAAAG